rnacentral:rRNA from 1 species
CCUACGGGAGGCAGCAGUGAGGAAUAUUGGACAAUGGGCGCAAGCCUGAUCCAGCCAUGCCGCGCGCAGGAAGACGCAUCUAUGGUGUGUAAACUGCUUUUGUACGGGAAGAAACACUCCUUCGUGAAGGAGCUUGACGGUACCGUAAGAAUAAGGAUCGGCUAACUCCGUGCCAGCAGCCGCGGUAAUACGGAGGAUCCAAGCGUUAUCCGGAAUCAUUGGGUUUAAAGGGUCCGUAGGCGGUUUAAUAAGUCAGUGGUGAAAUCUGGUCGCUCAACGAUCAAACGGCCAUUGAUACUGUUAGACUUGAAUUACUAGGAAGUAACUAGAAUAUGUAGUGUAGCGGUGAAAUGCUUAGAUAUUACAUGGAAUACCAAUUGCGAAGGCAGGUUACUACUAGUGGAUUGACGCUGAUGGACGAAAGCGUGGGGAGCGAACAGGAUUAGAUACCCUGGUAGUCCACGCCGUAAACGAUGGAUACUAGCUGUUGGGCGCAAGUUCAGUGGCUAAGCGAAAGUGAUAAGUAUCCCACCUGGGGAGUACGUUCGCAAGAAUGAAACUCAAAGGAAUUGACGGCUGAGACGAGCGACGACGACGACGAGGGAGGAGG